AAACUUUCAACAACGGAUCUCUUGGUUCUCGCAUCGAUGAAGAACGCAGCGAAAUGCGAUAAGUAAUAUGAAUUGCAGAUUUUCGUGAAUCAUCGAAUCUUUGAACGGACAUUGCGCCCUUUGGUAUUCCAAAGGGCAUGCCUGUUUGAGCGUCAUUU
rnacentral:rRNA from 1 species